GUGACUUUCCCUUUCUGAUCAUAUUUAGAUCAAUUCCUUAGAAAGACUAAUCUAGCUGUUGGAGGUAGGUAGAUUGGAACAAAUAGGAGGGAAAGGUGCAGAGAGCAGUUUGGAAUAAAAGUAAUGAGUACAAGAAUUAAGAUAAUGGAGUUGGAAGUAGGAAAGACGUAGUGAUAUGAGACAGACCCUGUGGGCAAAUAAUCCACCUGACUCAGCAGCUGUCUGACCUCAGGGAGAGAAAGAAAGAGGAAUCAAAAAGUUGAGAUUUCCAGUUUGGUGAUGAAGAGAUGGGCGACUUCAUUUUAAGGAAGUAACUACAACACAAGCCCCAGUGCCAACCCCAUUCUCUGCAUCUCAGAUUCCUCGGUAACUUCAUGUCAUGGAAUUCUAACAAGUUUUGGCUGAUUGAUAUAGCAAAACAACAAAGACAGGCUUGAAAAAAGACAGAUGGGGCAAAUGUGGAAGGUGGCGGCCACUUUAAAUGACAGCUCCGCAACGGACAAAAACGGGCUCUCCUCAUUAUGUUCAUGGAACACCAAAUAUGAAGAAAUCAAGCUGCUUUAGGACUGAGACCCUUAUGGCAGCUCAUAUUGCAUUGGGAAAAAAUGUUAACAUUAAUAAGUUACAUAAGAAAAAUGUCCAAGAUCAACACAUUCAAGGCCAUUAUAAAUACUAGCAUAUACAUUCAGAAAUGCAAUUACACCAUCAGCAUGAACACGCAGGAAAAGAAAAUUCCUAUUUGCAUGGCUGUGAGGUUUCUUCUGGUUGCCAGCAAUUUCCAGAGUGUAUUGAAAUUUUCAAAUUAACUGAGGACAUUUUAGUCAAUUUUAUCUCUCAAUGCUUUUGUGUCACUUUUUCUUCAAGGUCUGUGCAUUUUGCUGAUUGAAAUGCUCAAACAUUUAUUCAUUUAUUCAUCUCAAAGGCACAGAUCAUCAUUAUGACUUUUUUUUUUUGAAAAAAUAGUGUCAGAACUUUCUAAUGUUCUUUUCUGUCUCUUUUCUCCAAAUACUUUCCCUCUUCAUAACCCUCUUUCUCCCCAGGGGACUUUCUAUUGCUUCUAUAGGGAAUUUUUUCAACGUCUGGUCUUUAAAAAGAAUUCCUCUUUAAUCCUAAAGCAUUCUAUGGAGAAAUCAGUUUCCAGAAGUUAGAAUAAAAUUCCAUGUGCAUGCCUGGGUCUGGGACAGGGUGCGGGAAAAGAAGAAAUGUUGGUAUGUAAUCUUAAAAUUCAAAUGCUGUUCAGUAGUGGCAUACCAUCUGAACUAGCUGCAAAUGGUAAAUAAACCCAGCUUGUAACUUAAUGAUCCUUGUGUUUGUGUGUCUGUGAAUACAUUAAGAACUCUCAAAGAAAAAAUUGUGGAAUCAUAAAUAAAAGACAGCAGUGAAUCACAGACAGUCACACAGAAACAAGACACCAUCCUCCCAUAUGCCUGUGUGGAUAUUGAUGUGGGUUCCUCACCUUUUCGGUUUGCAGUGGCAGCAUGAGACCCACUCUAGAUGCUGUGGCACAGGGAGAGGUUUGAUGGUCUUCAUUACAUAUUGUCUGCCCUGCAAAAAUCAUCUGCUUUGCUUGGAAUUGAUUUCAAAACCAGAUUCAUGCAGUGCCUGUUACACCACGAUAAACAAAUAAAUUAGCUGCUGCAAUAUGGAAAUUUACAUGAUUCAGUGUACUUAAAAACUGUUAACUGUGAACUUAUUAAUUGAAAGCCACAGGACAAUAAUCAGCAUGUCCUUCAGUAGGAAAACGAAUCUCUUGUUAAAGCGAAUUUGUAAGGCAAUAAAG
rnacentral:lncRNA from 1 species